rnacentral:rRNA from 1 species
CGCGUAGGUGGUUUGUUAAGUUGGAUGUGAAGGCCCCGGGCUCAACCUGGGAACUGCAUCCAAAACUGGCAAGCUAGAGUACGGUAGAGGGUGGUGGAAUUUCCUGUGUAGCGGUGAAAUGCGUAGAUAUAGGAAGGAACACCAGUGGCGAAGGCGACCACCUGGACUGAUACUGACACUGAGGUGCGAAAGCGUGGGGAGCGAACA